rnacentral:rRNA from 1 species
ACGCUCGACACCUACGGGAAGGCAGCAGUGGGGAAUAUUGCACAAUGGGGGAAACCCUGAUGCAGCAACGCCGCGUGAAGGAAGACGGUUUUCGGAUUGUAAACUUCUGUUCUUAGUGAAGAUAGUGACGGUAGCUAAGGAGCAAGCCACGGCUAACUACGUGCCAGCAGCCGCGGUAAUCUGAGCGGGCUGGCAAGGC